rnacentral:rRNA from 1 species
ACGGAAGGCAGCAGUGGGGAAUAUUGCACAAUGGGGGAAACCCUGAUGCAGCGACGCCGCGUGAGUGAAGAAGUAUUUCGGUAUGUAAAGCUCUUUAAGCAGGGAUGAAAAUGACGGUACCUGCAGAAUAAGCCCCGGCUAACUACGUGCCAGCAGCCGCGGUAAUACGUAGGGGGCAAGCGUUAUCCGGAUUUACUGGGUGUAAAGGGAGCGUAGACGGCAAUGCAAGUCUGAAGUGAAAGCCCGCGGCUCAACUGCGGGACUGCUUUGGAAACUGUAUAGCUUGAGUGUCGGAGAGGUAAGUGGAAUUCCCAGUGUAGCGGUGAAAUGCGUAGAUAUUGGGAGGAACACCAGUGGCGAAGGCGGCUUACUGGACGAUAACUGACGUUGAGGCUCGAAAGCGUGGGGAGCAAACAGGAUUAGAUACCCUGGUA